rnacentral:rRNA from 1 species
AUACCAGCACCCCGAGUGGUCGGGACGAUUAUUGGGCCUAAAGCAUCCGUAGCCGGUACUGCAAGUCUUCCGUUAAAUCCACCUGCUCAACAGUUGGGCUGCGGGGGAUACUACAGCGCUAGGAGGCGGGAGAGGCAAGCGGUACUUAAUGGGUAGGGGUAAAAUCCACUGAUCCAUUGAAGACCACCAGUGGCGAAGGCGGCUUGCCAGAACGCGCUCGACGGUGAGGGAUGAAAGCUGGGGGAGCAAACCGGAUUAGAUACCCGGGUAGUCCCAGCUGUAAACGAUGCAGACUCGGUGAUGGGCUGGCCUUGUGCCAACCCAGUGCCGCAGGGGAGCCGUUAAGUCUGCCGCCUGGGGAGUACGGUCGCAAGACUGAAACUCAAAUGAAUUGACGGGG